UAUUAUGAUGAGAACAUUUACAGACCUGUACCGAUUUCUCCUUUCGGCGAAAUAAGCGGACAACGUAUAUUGCCUUUUUUCCUGAUU
rnacentral:snoRNA from 1 species